rnacentral:tRNA from 1 species
GGAGUGAUAUCGAAGUGGUUAUAACGAGACUGACUCGAAAUCAGUUAUACCUCAAAAAUGGGUAUCGUGGGUUCGAAUCCCACUCACUCCGCCA